UGGGGAAUAUUGCACAAUGGGGGAAACCCUGAUGCAGCGACGCCGCGUGAGCGAUGAAGGCUUUCGAGUCGUAAAGCUCUGUCCUAUGGGAAGAUAAUGACGGUAUCAUAGGAGGAAGCCCCGGCUAAAUACGUGCCAGCAGCCGCGGUAAUACGUAUGGGGCGAGCGUUGUCCGGAAUUAUUGGGCGUAAAGGGUACGUAGGCGGUCUAUUAAGUCAGGUGUGAAAGCGUGAGGCUUAACCUCAUUAAGCACUUGAAACUGAUAGACUUGAGUGAAGGAGAGGAAAGUGGAAUUCCUAGUGUAGCGGUGAAAUGCGUAGAUAUUAGGAGGAAUACCGGUGGAGAAGGCGACUUUCUGGACUUUUACUGACGCUCAGGUACGAAAGCGUGGGGAGCAAACAGG
rnacentral:rRNA from 1 species